UCCGUAGGUGAACCUGCGGAGGGAUCAUUACAAGUGACCCCGGUCUAACCACCGGGAUGUUCAUAACCCUUUGUUGUCCGACUCUGUUGCCUCCGGGGCGACCCUGCCUUCGGGCGGGGGCUCCGGGUGGACACUUCAAACUCUUGCGUAACUUUGCAGUCUGAGUAAACUUAAUUAAUAAAUUAAAACUUUUAACAACGGAUCUCUUGGUUCUGGCAUCGAUGAAGAACGCAGCGAAAUGCGAUAAGUAAUGUGAAUUGCAGAAUUCAGUGAAUCAUCGAAUCUUUGAACGCACAUUGCGCCCCCUGGUAUUCCGGGGGGCAUGCCUGUUCGAGCGUCAUUUCACCACUCAAGCCUCGCUUGGUAUUGGGCAACGCGGUCCGCCGCGUGCCUCAAAUCGACCGGCUGGGUCUUCUGUCCCCUAAGCGUUGUGGAAACUAUUCGCUAAAGGGUGUUCGGGAGGCUACGCCGUAAAACAACCCCAUUUCUAAGGUUGACCUCGGAUCAGGUAGGGAUACCCGCUGAACUUAAGCAUAUCAAUAAGCGGAGGAA
rnacentral:rRNA from 2 species